UGGGAUGUAGCCCAGUGGCAGAGUGUUUGCCUGGCACGCACAAGGCCCUGGGUUCAAUCCCCAGUACCCCAA